GAUGAAGAACGCAGUGAAAUGCGAUAAGUAAUGUGAAUUGCAGAAUUCAGUGAAUCAUCGAAUCUUUGAACGCACAUUGCGCCCGCCAGUAUUCUGGCGGGCAUACCUGUUCGAGCGUCAUUUCAACCCUCAGGCCCCGCCUGGCGUUGGGGAUCGGCGCGGCCCUCUCCGGGCUGCCGGCCCCGAAAACUAGUGGCGGUCUCGCUGUAGUCCUCCUCUGCGCAGUAGCAACGCUCGCACUGGAACUCGGCGCGGCCACGCCGUAAAACACCCCACUUCUGAAAGUUGACCUCGGAUCAGGUAGGAAUACCCGCUGAACUUAAGCAUAUCAAUAAGCGGAGGA
rnacentral:misc_RNA from 1 species